GAUGAACGCUGGCGGCGUGCCUAAUACAUGCAAGUCGAGCGAAAAGACGAGGAGCUUGCUCCUCUGACGUUAGCGGCGGGCGGGUGAGUAACACGUGGAUAACCUACCUAUAAGACUGGGAUAACUUCGGGAAACCGGAGCUAAUACCGGAUAAUAUAUUGAACCGCAUGGUUCAAUAGAGAAAGACGGUUUUGCUGUCACUUAUAGAUGGAUCCGCGCCGCAUUAGCUAGUUGGUAAGGUAACGGCUUACCAAGGCAACGAUGCGUAGCCGACCUGAGAGGGUGAUCGGCCACACUGGAACUGAGACACGGUCCAGACUCCUACGGGAGGCAGCAGUAGGGAAUAUUCCGCAAUGGGCGAAAGCCUGACGGAGCAACGCCGCGUGAGUGAUGAAGGUCUUCGGAUCGUAAAGCUCUGUUAUUGGGAAAGAACAGAUGUGGAAGUAACUAUGCCCGUCUUGACGGUACCUAAUCAGAAAGCAACGGCUAACUACGUG
rnacentral:rRNA from 1 species